CUGGCUGCCGCUCACUUCAGCGAGCCCUCAUUCCCCCUCCAUCUCAUUUUAGCUGCAUUUGUUCGAGCAGCAGGUGAAGCGCCUUUCAAAAGACCGUCAUCUCCGAGGGAAGUCAUCUGUUUUACAUUAAUUGUCCAUUAGUCUCCAAGCCUCCAUCCAUUAACAUCCUCAGCCACUCAUUACGGAUAUUGUGCCCGGGUCCUGCUGUCAGCUUUUCAAUGCGGGCCUGUUUUCCUGCAUCUGACUUAAUUGCUCUAAGUGCCUGUUUCUUUGAGCAUACCAAUUAAUGCGGGCUUUCUUCUUGUGCUAGCUUGGACAGAAAUGCCAAGCUCCUUUUGACUAUCCCGCCUGUUUCCCAAGGGAUCUAUCUGGAGAGUCGACCUUGGGCAGUGGACCUACGUGAUAUCAGGCUGAUAUCUGACAUAUCUGACAUAUGGCAUUUACGGCUGAAGUAACAUGGCCUUGAAUGGAAGCAUCUUGGGUUCCUGAGUCACUGCUUGGAGAGGAUACAACCCACAGUUUUCUUUUGGAAGGCGGUGCCAAGGCUGAAGGCAAGAUCAGACAUGGCUCUUUUCUCCAGUGUACAGCAUAACAAAAACAUGGCAACAGCAAAAGCAUCUCUGUCAAGCGUUCUCCAUCAGUGGAGGCUGCCUUUCCUUUGUGUCCUUUCGGUCAGCGUUCUUAACCUCUGAGGAGCGUGCAUGGACGUGAGUAGUAGCUGAGUUCAGGUCCACAGCCAGACAACAUGCCAAGCUCUGUUCUGAGCAUCCUGACCUGACAACAAACAGCCUUUCACCACCUCUCUUCUACAACGUGGGACUAGCUAAGAAAGGUUUUCCAGGGUCAUACCACCGAGUACUGGGAAGCCAGCGGUCAGCCACUCCACUGGCUCCCACAGCCUGGACUCGGUCCACACUGUUCCUCCAACACCCCUCUGAGGCUAUGAAAAAUGUAAACUUCAGACACCGUGUUACUAAUUGUUCAAAUGAAGCUAGCAAAGACCACCUCCGUGGUCCCCAAACAUUCUUAGCUUUAUCCCCAUUCUCUUUUUUAAACACAGUUCAUUCCAUGUACCACCAGAUUUCAUGUGCUCUUUUCCUGCGUACCUCCAGAGUUUGACAUCUUGACCCCUUCACUGUGGUCAGUCUGGCCCCAGCCACUGCCCUCCUUCCAUGGACCGCCCUGGCCUCUGUGGAACUAGGUCACCUUUCACCUGUAGGUACCAUUGCAUCUUCUGUCUUUCCAAUGCUUCCCAUCUCAUUCAAAGAAAAGUCCUUACUGCCUAGGGCCAGCACAACCAUGUAUGGCAUGGCCCCAAGCCCCAUGUGUGGGGAUAUUUUAUUUGUGCUGACAUGUGAUUUUAUUUGUAUGUUAAUAAAU